AGCAGACAUUCACGGAAAACCUGUUCCUGGGCCCUCCCAGGUGCCGGGUGCUGAGUUGGCUGCCAGCCCCAAGGAGCAGGGAGCUAAGACUCACACAGCGCUCUGAUCCAGGAGGAACGUGGCUAAACUCCCAGCAGGGGCUGUCUCAUUCAAGGGGACGCCCAGUGCGAAGGUUUCUGCUGUGACGCCCAUGCCUGCGGGGAGCUCAGCAGGGCACAGCUGGAGUGUCCUUCCAGAAACCCGUCUGCAGGUCGUGGCACCACCUUAUCUCCAAGUGUGUUUGUGGACACAGUCAUGGAGAGACGCUGGCUGAAGGAUGAGAAGACCCGUGUGAAGCAGACUGUGGCAUGUGUCUCGUCACCGCCCUCCCCGCAGCGUCUGACAGAUCCACAUAUGCGUAACAGGGUCUGUGGAGGUCCAUGAGCACCACAGUCAUGUGGCAUUGCACAGGGCACUGCAUGGCUUUCUGUGUUCAAAGCCCCAGGGGAUUAAUACAAACACAUAAAAUGUAACAUGAUUUUUAUAACCUUGGUUUGGAAUCUGUUUUGUUUCUCUCUUUUUUAUUUUUUUAAUGUGAGAGGGACCUCAAAAGAACGCAAGGGGCCUGGACCUUUCCCAGGGUUCGAGAAGCAGCACAGCAGAACUCCAAAUCACAGGGUCUGUUUGUGGGGUGGCUGAGAAAUCAUAGUCCUUGAAGGUGCCCUGUGAU